rnacentral:lncRNA from 1 species
GCAAAGCUGACAAUGCAUGGAGCCACAAUAUAAUAAACAUAAAGGUCUCAUAUAUUAAAUUGACUUUGUUGGAUUACAAAUAACAUGAUCCCAAGGUUACAAUAAGUGAUACUACAUAGUAGCCUAAGUCUGGACGUUUCAAUCAACGCCGCAACCACUCUAAAACAUAAUGUUUGAAACAUUGACACUAGAAAUGACAUCCUAAAACACUACACAAGACUAACAAAUAGCAGCCCCAUUGUCCACCUUGCAAUCAACAUCUAGGCCAUACAUCAUCAAUUUAUCUUAGUGAUCUACAAAAAUAAAGGAAUAAGAUCAGUGACCAUAUUGUAGAGAAAAUAUGGUUAAGGGCAGCAAAAUUAAAGAAGGAGCAACAUACAAAGGUUAAAGGCCAUGCGAUAAUUAAUCCUGCUGCAUGACCAAUAAUGUUAACCUUUUUUAGUGGUCGUAUCAACUGAUCAGAUUUUGAUAAUGUAGCAUCAACUCGCACUGCCCAAAAUUGGUUACGAAGAUGAACACCCUCAACUUUAUAUUCUGGUUCAAUGCUUUGGAGCGUACCAAGAGCAACAUUCCUGUUUGGAUUUCCCAAGCUCUUCAAAAAUACUACAGUGCCAACGUAUUUGUACGAGAAAACAAUUUCUAAUAUAAGCAAUUUAAAACUUGUAGAUAAUCAUGCAUGACACAAACUUAAUAGCCAUACAUCUAUCGAGUCGGCACCCAGGCAAUUUGUUGUACUGCAUUGUUGUUUCUGUAGAAUAUAUUUUGUGCAACAUUAGUAUGCAAUAUAAUUGAAGCUUAAGAACUGAAACAGAGAAGAAUAAGGUUGAGAAAAUUUAUGUCAUACAUUGGCAUGCUUUGUUGCCUUAGCUCCUCUUGAGAUCUUACUAGUGUUCUGGCAACGAAGCUAAUGGCAAGAUGCAAAAUAAUCAGACCAACUUCUGAAGGAAAAACUGAAUAUAGAUGUACACAUGAUGAAUCAGAAUUUGCCAUAUACGCAGAGUAUUCUCUAACCCGUUGAUGCGUGUUGUUAAGUUGGAGAUCAAUU